UGGAAGGUGAUUAUGUCAUGAAUACAGA
rnacentral:piRNA from 1 species